UACGGGGGGGGUAAGCGUUGUUCGGAAUUACUGGGCGUAAAGGGCUCGUAGGCGGCCAACUAAGUCAGACGUGAAAUCCCUCGGCUUAACCGGGGAACUGCAUCUGAUACUGGAUGGCUUGAGAUUGGGAGAGGGAUGCGGAAUUCCAGGUGUAGCGGUGAAAUGCGUAGAUAUCUGGAGGAACACCGGUGGCGAAGGCGGCACCCUGGACCAACACUGACGCUGAGGAGCGAAAGCCAGGGGAGCAAACGGG
rnacentral:rRNA from 1 species